rnacentral:rRNA from 1 species
AUCAACGCUGGCGGCGUGCCUCAGACAUGCAAGUCGAACGCGAAAUUUCCCUUCGGGGAGAAAGUAGAGUGGCGCACGGGUGAGUAACACGUAGGUAAUUUGCCUUUGGGUGGGGAUAACUCAGGGAAACUUGAGCUAAUACCGCAUAAUGCAGCGGCUCGACAUCGAGACAGUUGUUAAAGCGGGGGAUUGGAGCAAUCCGACCUCGCGCCUAAAGAGAAGCCUGCGGCAGAUUAGCUAGUUGGUAAGGUAAUGGCUUACCAAGGCGACGAUCUGUAACCGGCCUGAGAGGGCGGUCGGUCACACU